AGCCCCGUACACGUAAUCCUUAAUCUUGUCCUAGAGUAAGGCGGGACACGUGAAAUCCUGUCUGAACGUGGGGGGACCACCCUCCAAGCCUAAGUACUCGUGCAUGACCGAUAGCGAACAAGUACCGUGAGGGAAAGGUGAAAAGUACCCCUGGCGGGGAGUGAAAUAGUACCUGAAACCGUGUGCCUACAAUCCGUCGGAGCCAAGCCCAAGUGGUGAGGUGACGGCGUGCCUUUUGAAGAAUGAGCCUGCGAGUUUGCGUUGUGUGGCGAGGUUAACCCGUGUGGGGCAGCCGUAGCGAAAGCGAGUCCGAAUAGGGCGUGUGAGUCGCACGAUCAAGACCCGAAGCGAAGUGAUCUAUCCAUGGGCAGGUUGAAGCGCGGGUAAGACCGCGUGGAGGACCGAACCCACUUAGGUUGAAAACUGAGGGGAUGACCUGUGGAUAGGGGUGAAAGGCCAAUCAAACUUCGUGAUAGCUG
rnacentral:pre_miRNA from 18 species